rnacentral:ncRNA from 2 species
UUCGGGGCCAGCGCCUCGGCUGGCGUACGUUGGCGUUGCUCCAUUGAAGCCAGCAGCUACGCCGACGUGAGCCAGCUGAUGCUCUGGCCCUCGG